rnacentral:rRNA from 1 species
CGCGUGUACUGGUCCGGCCGGGCCUUUCCUUCUGGAGAUCCCCAUGCCCUUCACUGGGUGUGUGGGGGAACCAAGACUUUUACUUUGAAAAAAUUAGAGUGUUCAAAGCAGGCCUUUGCUCAAAUACUUUAGCAUGGAAUAAUAAAAUAAGACGUGCGGUCCUAUUUUGUUGGUUUCUAAGACCGCUGUAAUGAUUAAUAGGGAUAGUCGGGGGCAUCAGUAUUCAAUUGUCAGAGGUGAAAUUCUUGGAUUUAUUGAACACUAACUACUGCGAAAGCAUUUGCCAAGGAUGUUUUCAUUAAUCAGUGAACGAAAGUUAGGGGAUCGAACACUAUCAUAUACCGUCAUACUCUUAACCGUAAACUAUGCCCACUAGGGAUCGGGCGAUGUUUCUUUCUUGACUCUCUCGGCACCUUACGAGAAAUCAAAGUUUUUGGGUUUUGGGGGGAGUAUGGUCGCAGGCUGACACUUAAAGAAAUUGAGAGAGGGGCACCACCGGGCGUGGAGCCUGCCGCUUAAUUUGACUCAACACGGGGAAACUCUCCAGGUCCAGAUGAAAUAAGGAUUGACAGAUUGAGAGCUCUUUUUUGAUUUUUCAGGUGGUGGUGCAUGGCCGUUCUUAGUUGGUGGAGUGAUUUGUUGGCUUAAUUACGAUAACGAACGAGACCUCAACAUCCUAAAUAGCCACCCUAGCUUUGGCUGUCGCCGGCUUCUUUGAGGGACGAUCGG